rnacentral:rRNA from 1 species
GAUCCUGGCUUAGGAUUAACGCUGGCGGCGUGCCUAAUACAUGCAAGUCGGAUGGUAGCAAUACCAUGGCGAACGGGUGAGUAACACGUAGGUAACCUGUCUUAAAGACGAGAAUAACCAUUGGAAACGAUGGAUAAUGCUGGAUAGGAUAAUUUAAGGCAUCUUGAAUUAUUUAAAGAUUUAUCACUUUAAGAGGGGCCUGCGGCGCAUUAGCUAGUUGGGGAGGUAAUAGCUCACCAAGGCGAUGAUGCGUAGCCGGACUGAGAGGUUGAACGGCCACAAUGGAACUGAGAACGGUCCAUACUCCUACGGGAGGCAGCAGUAGGGAAUUUUCGGCAAUGGGCGAAAGCCUGACCGAGCCAACGCCGCGUGAUUGAAGAAGUAUUUCGGUAUGUAAAGAUCUUUUAUUAGGGAAGAAAAGACAGAUUGACGGUACCUAAUGAAUAAGCUCCGGCUAACUACGUGCCAGCAGCGGC